rnacentral:rRNA from 1 species
CGGACGGGUGAGUAACGCGUGAGAAUCUGCCUCUAGGUUUGGGACAACAGUUGGAAACGGCUGCUAAUACCAGAUGUGCCGUAAGGUGAAAGAUUAAUUGCCUAGAAAUGAGCUCGCGUCAGAUUAGCUAGUAGGUAGUGUAAAGGACUACCUAGGCGACGAUCUGUAGCUGGUCUGAGAGGACGAUCAGCCACACUGGAACUGAGACACGGUCCAGACUCCUACGGGAGGCAGCAGUGGGGAAUUUUCCGCAAUGGGCGAAAGCCUGACGGAGCAAUACCGCGUGAGGGACGAAGGCUUUUGGGUCGUAAACCUCUUUUCUCAAGGAAGAUAAUGACGGUACUUGAGGAAUAAGCAUCGGCUAACUCUGUGCCAGCAGCCGCGGUAAUACAGAGGAUGCAAGCGUUAUCCGGAAUGAUUGGGCGUAAAGCGUCCGCAGGUGGUUUUAUAAGUCUGCUGUUAAAGCGUUAGGCUCAACCUAAUAAGGGCAGUGGAAACUAUUAGACUAGAGUACGUUCGGGGCAGAGGGAAUUCCCAGUGUAGCGGUGAAAUGCGUAGAGAUUGGGAAGAACACCGGUGGCGAAAGCGCUCUGCUAGGCCUGUACUGACACUGAGGGACGAAAGCUAGGGGAGCGAAUGGGAUUAGAUACCCCAGUAGUC